GGAGGGUCUCCUUGGCGAAGCCCCCUUUCCAUACCAAACUCUUCCGUGAGAGAGCCAUUAACUAGGUUAGAGAUUCUAGAUGUGGAAAUGCUUUGUCUGAUCCAGCACCUCCAUUUAUCUCCAAAACCCAUAUAACUCAUUACCUCUUCAAUGUGAUUCCAAAGCACUGAAUCAAACAUUUUGUGAAAGUCCAGUUUGAAAUAACU
rnacentral:lncRNA from 1 species